rnacentral:rRNA from 1 species
CACGUAGGGGACGAGCGUUGUCCGGAUUCAUUGGGCGUAAAGCGCGCGUAGGCGGCUCGGAAAGUCGGCCGUGAAAUGCCGGGGCUCAACCCGGGAACUGCGUCCGAGACUGGAAGGCUUGAAUCCGGGAGAGGGAUGUGGAAUUCCAGGUGUAGCGGUGAAAUGCGUAGAUAUCUGGAGGAACAUCGGUGGCGAAGGCGGCAUCCUGGACCGGUAUUGACGCUGAGGCGCGAAAGCCAGGGGAGCAAACGGG